UGGUCAAGUUAUUAAGGGUGCAGGGCGGAUGCCUUGGCACUAGGAGCCGAUGAAGGACGUGAUAAGCUGCGAUAAGCUUCGGGGAGUUGCACGUAAACUUUGAUCCGAAGAUUUCCGAAUGAGGAAACUCACUUAGAGUAAUGUCUAAGUAUCAUUAAGUGAAUACAUAGCUUAAUGAGGGGAACUCAGGGAACUGAAACAUCUAAGUA
rnacentral:rRNA from 1 species